UAGGAUGAUCGAUGGUAGGGGACACAUUGCGCUGCAAUAUGGCGUGCGCUCGCAAAACACCUGAAAAACGUGCCCCCAGCAAAAGCUUCCUUUGCUAUUUAGGCACCAAAGACAGAGUCCGCUUGCAAGCACCGACCGCAACUACCAGACCAUUGCUUGUGAGGUGUCGCUGCCAUGCACGCACUAUAGAGUGCCUGCCCGAGAGUCCCAGUGGCGCCCCCUUUGCUCGAGGGGUGGCAACAACUUUCCAGAGGAACCCCCCACUCCCGCCUCCCACCGGCCCGCAAACAGAUCUGAAAAACAGAAUUUAACACAGUUUGCCGAAUGUUACAAGGCUGACCAAGUCUAGUAUGAGUUGAUGAAUGAUCUGACACAGAACCAUUGUGUCUAACCAGGAAUGGUUCCUAUGACUUCUAAGAAUACCAGAGGGAACGGAAUGGCACCCUGCUGUUUAACUAAACUGACAACAUAGAAGGGAACAACAGAGGUUGGAAAAGCCGAAUGCAUUUGCCAACCAUUUAUUACCACGGAGUCUUCCGACUGCUUGUCCAAAUUGCAACCACGCCUCUUCCUUUCUUUGGGCAUAAAGAGCGAGCAAGCUAUUGUUUUAAAAUAUAUUGUUGUCGUGGAAUCUUCACAGAUUUUUCGCUGUGGUCAAGACUUAACGAUCUGAAGAUCAACUAUUUUCAGAAAUAGUUGAAACAGCAUACAGCAUGAUUUAUUCAGGGUUUCCUUCUCAUCGGCAGGUGUCAGAGCCAUCCCGUGAGAUGUCGACAAUGAGAGGAGAGCUUUCUGUAAGAAUAAUAAAAGAAAACAUGGAAGAAAAGAAAUCCCAAUGAUUGAGAAAAGUGUCAUGACUAUGCGAAAGAUGGCGCCACCACUCAGAAUUAUUUUGGUGAAUUCAUAAUCUCUUGGAAAGGAAGACAAUCCAGGGAAAGCUACAAAAUGGUAAGUGGAUCUGCUUGAUGCCAGCAUUUAAUGGUAGAUUCGUCUGAUUUACGACUCCAGUUCGAGGACACGGUCUUCUUCUUUCCACUUCAUUCUUUCAUUACAGCUUGAAGUUAGACGAUUUCCAAAAGUUUGUAAAGAUGGAAGACGGACAACCGUUUGAUGGCUUUGAAUCAAAAUUCGUUAUCGCUGCAACCAACAUCUUUCAUGAAAGAAAAAGAAGAUAAGCCCCUUUAUUGCUGAAGGAUGGUUUAAUUUACCACAAUAAUUGUCUGAUGAAGAAAAUUCUUUGAAAAGCAAGAGUUAAUGGCAGAUCAUCAAUCGAAAUGACUGAAGAUUCUUAAAUCUGAUGAUCUUCAUUUGAGACAUAUUUUUAUAAAGUUCUAUGACGUACAUUUUCAAUUCUCUCUUAUUCAUAAAAAAUGCAUUAUAAUGCAAUUGUUAUACAAAUAUUUUCUAAAUAAUUUUAUUACUCCGUCAUGGAUAAAUAAGAAAUUAAUUCCUUAUUUAUCCAUUAAGAUUAAAAUUAUCAAUAGUUUUGUUGCUUAAACAAGAUAUUGCUUUUAAAAACUCAAGUAUUUAAAUGUGCCUAUGCUUAUAGAAGUCUUUACAAAAUACUACUUUCAAUGCGCAACCAAGCACAAUCAUUAAUAGCCUUCUUCUAAAAGCAAUAAGCAUCACAAAGCAUUAUUUCUUGAAUAAUUUUAUUAAAAUAAAGGGAGGUUUUCUGUUUGCCAAGCCUCUGUAAACAGAAGCUCAAUUUUCGAUAUCUUAAAAUGCAAAGGUCAAGGAUAAAGUUAUUCAGUAUCUCCACCUAUAAUCGCAUGCAAGUUGUGAAGUUACGAUAAAAAUAAAUACUCUAUGAAAUAUAAUGGAUUAUUUGCAUUGCUUAAAACAUUUUAUUAUGCCCUAUGGUUUAAGUGUCUAAAUAAAAAUAACAAAACUUACUUCAAUGAUGUUCCUUGAUAUAUCAUCACCAGACAGUUAUGAGAAUAGACGACUUCAAUUCCUCUUAUUGAUGACCCGCUUAUUAUUUCAAUAACAAACAAAGUGCGGUGAAAUAAAAAAAUCACCACUAAUAAAAAGUUAUUAAUAUUUUUGAGUCGUGUCAUUUCUUAUUACUUUAAAUAUUUACUAUGCAGUUAAAGCAGACCGGGAAAUGCAUUAUUAGCAUGCGUAACAGUAAAAACAUUUCAUUAGAUGGUGCGGAAAUUAUCAUGAAGAUUACAAUAAUAAAAUGGGUACUUUAGAAAUCAGUAGAUAAAUCUAUACUGUUAUUCUGAUGAUUGAUGCUUAGUAUUCAAGGGCGAGUUAUCCAUCACAUUUUAGGUGUGUUAUGAAGUAAUAGUCCGAUUAACAACGAAAAAAGGACGUUGCUACACAUAUACGUUAUGUGAAUAUAAAUUAGUAGAAACUCAUCUCAUAUUUCAAAAAUAGCAAGCAUGCAACCAUAAAUGAAUGCAAUAUAUAAAGUAGACAUUGUUUCUCUUCAAUAAUGAAGCUGACUAAUAAUACAUAAUUUGAUUAAUACAAUGUUUUUUUU